CGGCAGCAGCAGCAUCAGCAGCAGCAGCAGCGGCGGGUAUCGUGUGACGUGUGUGUAUAUCGGAGUUAGCUAUCGACACGGGAGGACGCGGCGGAGGAGAAACAGUGAUGCCCAACACCGGUGCGAUGGAUUCAUGCGCCGUAGCACGAAUGCUGGCCGUAACACUGCUGCUAUUAUACCACCAGAAUUUCUACGCGUCAGCGCAAGACGUGACACGUAAGGAGGUCACGUGUGAGCAGGACAGCAUCGUAUUGGACCUGCGCUUCGAUGGCCGCUUCGGCGGCAUCGUC